rnacentral:rRNA from 1 species
UACGUAGGGUGCAAGCGUUGCCCGGAUUUAUUGGGCGUAAAGGGCGCGUAGGCGGCUCGGAACGUCCGUUGUGAAAUCGCCCGGCUCAACUGGGCGGGGUCAGCGGAUACGGCCGAGCUUGAGCAAGCUAGGGGGCAAUGGAAUUCCCGGUGUAGUGGUGGAAUGCGUAGAUAUCGAGAGGAACACCUGCGGCGAAGGCGGGUUGCUGGGCCGACACUGACGCUGAUGCGCGAAAGCUAGGGGAGCAAACGGG